UACGAAGGGGGCUAGCGUUGCUCGGAAUUACUGGGCGUAAAGGGCGCGUAGGCGGAUAGUUUAGUCAGAGGUGAAAGCCCAGGGCUCAACCCUGGAAUUGCCUUUGAUACUGGCUAUCUUGAGUUCGGGAGAGGUGAGUGGAACUCCGAGUGUAGAGGUGAAAUUCGUAGAUAUUCGGAAGAACACCAGUGGCGAAGGCGACUCACUGGUCCGGUACUGACGCUGAGGUGCGAAAGCGUGGGGAGCAAACAGG
rnacentral:rRNA from 1 species